rnacentral:rRNA from 1 species
GACGAACGCUGGCGGCGUGCUUACACAUGCAAGUCGAGCGAUGAAGUUCCUUCGGGAACGGAUUAGCGGCGGACGGGUGAGUAACACGUGGGUAACCUGCCUCAUAGAGGGGAAUAGCCUUCCGAAAGGAAGAUUAAUACCGCAUAAGAUUGUAGUUUCGCAUGAAACAGCAAUUAAAGGAGUAAUCCGCUAUGAGAUGGACCCGCGUCGCAUUAGCUAGUUGGUGAGGUAACGGCUCACCAAGGCGACGACGCGUAGCCGACCUGAGAGGGUGAUCGGACACAUUGGGACUGAGACACGGCCCAGACUCCUACGGGAGGCAGCAGUGGGGAAUAUUGCACAAUGGGGGAAACCCUGAUGCAGCAACGCCGCGUGAGUGAUGACGGUCUUCGGAUUGUAAAACUCUGUCUUCAGGGACGAUAAUGACGGUACCUGAGGAGGAAGCCACGGCUAACUACGUGCCAGCCGCCGCGGUAA